rnacentral:misc_RNA from 1 species
CUCAACAACUAGCCAAUCUCCAUCUCCAAAGCGCAUUCUUUCAUCUUCACUCACGCAGAAGCCAUGGGAAGCGCCACUAAGGGGAGAACCACCAUUGACGUUGGAGCUGAUGGUGUAGCGGUCAUCACCAUCAUCAAUCCUCCUGUUAAUUCGCUCUCUUUCGAUGUGCUAAAAAGCUUGAAAGAUAGUUUUGACCAAGCCUUAAGAAGAGAUGAUGUGAAGGCAAUUGUUGUCACUGGGGCAAGUUCUCGGGUGGCUUUGAUAUUACUGCAUUUGGUGGAGUUCAAAGCGGAACUGUGGAUCAACCAAAGCGUGGUUUUAUAUCAGUUGACAUUCUAACUGACACUGUAGAAGCUGCAAGAAAACCUUCAGUGGCUGCCAUUGAUGGUCUUGCCUUAGGUGGAGGAUUAGAGGUUGCAAUGGCAUGUCAUGCACGUAUCUCAACUCCCACUGCACAAUUAGGCCUGCCUGAACUUCAACUCGGAAUAAUUCCUGG